UGUUACAUGAAGGAAAAGGCUGCACAU
rnacentral:piRNA from 1 species